rnacentral:rRNA from 1 species
UACGAAGGGGGGCUAGCGUUGUUCGGAAUCACUGGGCGUAAAGCGCGCGUAGGCGGAUUGUUAAGUCGGGGGUGAAAUCCCGAGGCUCAACCUCGGAACUGCCUUCGAUACUGGCGAUCUUGAGUCCGGGAGAGGUGAGUGGAACUCCUAGUGUAGAGGUGAAAUUCGUAGAUAUUAGGAAGAACACCAGUGGCGAAGGCGGCUCACUGGCCCCGGUACUGACGCUGAUGUGCGAAAAGCGUGGGG